rnacentral:rRNA from 1 species
CUAAGGCUCCAGAGGAAGCCACGGCUAACUCUGUGCCAGCAGCCGCGGUAAUACAGAGGCGGCAAGCGUUGUUCGGAAUUAUUGGGCGUAAAGAGCACGUAGGCGGCCUUGCAAGUCAGUUGUGAAAGCCUUCCGCUUAACGGAAGAAUGCCAGCUGAUACUACAGGGCUUGAGUACGGGAGGGGAGAGUGGAACUUCUGGUGGAGCGGUGAAAUGCGUAGAUAUCAGAAGGAACGCCGGCGGCGAAAGCGACUCCCUGGCCCGAAACUGACGCUGAGUGUGCGAAAGCUAGGGGAGCAAACGGGAUUAGAUACCCCGGUAGUCCUAGCCGUAAA